GCCUGUGUGGCUCAGGGGUAGAGCGCAUCCUUGGUAAGGAUGAGGCCGGCGGUUCAAUUCCGCCCACAGGCUCCA
rnacentral:tRNA from 1 species